UCAACGUUUAUCAAUAACAUCUCGGGAAUGUGCUCGGGAAAGUUUAUUUUGUAUUUCUAUUGAAUUUUAUUUUAUCACUACUCAAGUUAAACAGCAAAUUUAAUAGACAAACCUGCCACCGAAACCGAGCAUGUAAACCUCAGAAAGCUAUGUAUUUCUUUACUGAGAGCCACGAUGUGCGACGACUAUUCUGAGAGACAAGAUGUGCGACGACCGCCUGCCCCUGCCGCGGAUGCAGCGCUGUCUCUGCACCGAGCUGAAGACAGGCUGCCUGAUAUGGGGCUGGACUCAAUUGGUAGGCAAGAUCUUCGAUCCUCUUAGCGAAUCGGUGACAAAUUGUGGAGCUAAAGUUUGAACCCGUGGUCUGAGUAGCGUGCUAGCAAUACUGGGUAUCUCCACUCUGAGAAGUUACAGUGACAACGCAUACCACCACUCCAUAGUGUAUCCCACUCUGGGAGUCGGAAUAGUACUGAGUAUCCUACUGCUGGUUGGACUGCAUUCGCACACAGCUCUGCUCGUACAAAUAUACUAUUUCGUGUUCUUGUUCUUCGUUCUGCUAUGCGUGAUAUCGUUUGUUCUGUUCGUGAUUGAUCGUGAUGUUAUCGCAUCCAUGUCCGUCGUGGUUACUGGUGCCCAUAACCAUCGCCGAUACACCUACCCAUACCUAUUGUUGAGCUGACACUGUAGUGUGAGAAGCAGUCAUCAUGUGUGACGACCACCUGCCCUUACCCCGUGUUAGCGACUGCAUAUGCACGGACCUCAAAAUGGGCUGCAUCAUCUUCGGCUGGAUCAGCCUGAUAUGUUCCAUCAUUGGCGUGGGAACACUGAACUUGUACCACCAUGACGAACACUACGACGGCGUGAUAUACCCCACCCUGGGCACGGGGAUAGUGUUGUCAAUAAUACUCUUGAUUGGGCUUCAUGCUGACAUUCCAAUAUUAGUACAAAUAUAUUAUUUCAUUAUCCUCAUCAGUAUCAUAUUGAUGAUCAUAUCGUUUAUCGUGUAUCUGAUACGCGGCCGGAUCUGGGGUGCAGUAUCUUUCAUCAUUGCGUGUAUUUUUUACUUCGUGGUAGUGAUAUAUACGAGGAGCUGUUUUUACUCAAUGAUGUAAAAUUGAACGCGAAAUGCGAGCCUUGGACUUCAAAAUUUACUUAAUAUCAAAAUGUUUUUUAGUUAUUGUUUUUAAUUUAUGAUUGCGUUUGUAGAGUUAUACCUAAUAUGAAUAAAUUGUAUUUUUUUUUA